UGCCGGCGACCGGCGCACGGGUGAGUAACGCGUAUCCAACCUUCCGUACACUCAGGGAUAGCCUUUCGAAAGAAAGAUUAAUACCUGAUGGUAUCUUAAGCACACAUGUAAUUAAGAUUAAAGAUUCAUCGGUGUACGAUGGGGAUGCGUUCCAUUAGGUAGUAGGCGGGGUAACGGCCCACCUAGCCGACGAUGGAUAGGGGUUCUGAGAGGAAGGUCCCCCACAUUGGAACUGAGACACGGUCCAAACUCCUACGGGAGGCAGCAGUGAGGAAUAUUGGUCAAUGGACGAGAGUCUGAACCAGCCAAGUAGCGUGAAGGAUGAAGGUCCUACGGAUUGUAAACUUCUUUUAUAAGGGAAUAAACCCUCCCACGUGUGGGAGCUUGUAUGUACCUUAUGAAUAAGCAUCGGCUAACUCCGUGCCAGCAGCCGCGGUAAUACGGAGGAUGCGAGCGUUAUCCGGAUUUAUUGGGUUUAAAGGGAGCGCAGACGGGUCGUUAAGUCAGCUGUGAAAGUUUGGGGCUCAACCUUAAAAUUGCAGUUGAUACUGGCGUCCUUGAGUGCGGUUGAGGUGUGCGGAAUUCGUGGUGUAGCGGUGAAAUGCUUAGAUAUCACGAAGAACUCCGAU
rnacentral:rRNA from 1 species